UCGGAGCACGAUACCCUCGGGAAACUGAGGCUAAUAGUGCAUACCACACUCAUCCUGGAAUGGCGAGUGUGCCAAACGCUCCGGCGCCGAAGGACGUGGCUGCGGCCGAUUAGGUAGACGGUGGGGUACGGCCCACCGUGCCGAUAAUCGGUACGGGUGGUGAGAGCCAGAACCCGGAGACGGAAUCUGAGACAAGAUUCCGGGCCCUACGGGGCGCAGCAGGCGCGAAACCUUUACACUGCACGACAGUGCGAUAAGGGGGUCCCAAGUGCGUAGGCAUAGAGCCUACGCUUUUGUACACCGUAGGGAGGUGUACGAAUAAGGGCUGGGCAAGACCGGUGCCAGCCGCCGCGGUAAUACCGGCAGCCCGAGUGAUGGCCGAUCUUAUUGGGCCUAAAGCGUCCGUAGCUGGCCGCGCAAGUCCAUCGGGAAAUCCACCCGCUCAACGGGUGGACGUCCGGUGGAAACUGCACGGCUUGGGACCGGAAGGCGCGACGGGUACGUCCGGGGUAGGAGUGAAAUCCCGUAAUCCUGGACGGACCGCCGAUGGCGAAAGCACGUCGCGAGAACGGAUCCGACAGUGAGGGACAAAGCUAGGGUCUCGAACCGGAUUAGAUACCCGGGUAGUCCUAGCCGUAAACAAUGCCUGCUAGGUGUGGCUCCCACUACGAGUGGGUGCUGUGCCGUAGGGAAGCCGCUAAGCAGGCCGCCUGGGAAGUACGUCCGCAAGGAUGAAACUUAAAGGAAUUGG
rnacentral:rRNA from 1 species